rnacentral:lncRNA from 1 species
CCGGAACAUGCCGGAAGCCCAGCGCCACGCGCAAAGCCCGCCCCGGGGAAGGAAGUGGGCGAGCCAGUGCUGGAGGAUAAAUGGAGGCGCGCGCGGUGGGAGGGAGGGGCUUGGGCACUGGCCGUGCCCGUCGUCACCGCUCGGCGGAAGGGUUAACGGGUGCGGCUGGGGCUUCGCGCUGCGGUCCCGCAAGUCCCGGGAGAGUCACGUUCAGCGACGGCUCCUCCCUUUUGACGAGGGAAAUAAGAAUCCGUCUAAAGCCAGGCUGCAAGAUGCUCAAAAUUUUUGGCAUUCAGACAGCUUCCUUAGCUAGCAAGCAACCCGGAAAUAGUGCUGCAUCAUCAAGCAAGUGUGCAUCUUUUUUCAGUGUACCUUGUGUCAUAGCAACUGCUACCAAGGCAGAUAAAGAAUGA